rnacentral:rRNA from 1 species
UACGUAGGGUCCGAGCGUUUGUCCGGAAUUAUUGGGCGUAAAGAGCUCGUAGGCGGUUUGUCGCGUCUGCUGUGAAAACUGGAGGCUCAACCUCCAGCCUGCAGUGGGUACGGGCAGACUAGAGUGCGGUAGGGGGAGAUUGGAAUUCCUGGUGUAGCGGUGGAAUGCGCAGAUAUCAGGAGGAACACCGAUGGCGAAGGCAAAUCUCUGGGCCGUAACUGACGCUGAGGAGCGAAAGCAUGGGGAGCGAACAGG